rnacentral:rRNA from 1 species
CGGGUAUGAGUGCCGCUUUGUGUUUGUCAUCCUUCCAGAAAGCUGCGUCUACCGUUCAUUCGGCCGGAUGUAUGCGAUCUGGAUCUAUUACUUUGAAAAAAUUAGAGUGCUCCAGGCAGGCCUAUGCUCGAAUACAUUAGCAUGGAAUAAUAGAAUAGGACGCGUGGUUCUAUUUUGUUGGUUUCUAGGACCGCCGUAAUGAUUAAUAGGGACAGCCGGGGGCAUCAGUAUUCAAUUGUCAGAGGUGAAAUUCUUGGAUCUAUUGAAGACUAACUACUGCGAAAGCAUUUGCCAAGGAUGUUUUCAUUGAUAAGGAACGAAAGUUAGGGGAUCGAAGACGAUCAGAUACCGUCGUAGUCUUAACUAUAAACUAUGCCGACUAGGGAUCGGACGAUGUUAUUUCUUGACGCGUUCGGCACCUUUCGAGAAAUCAAAGUGCUUGGGCUCCAGGGGGAGUAUGGUCGCAAGGCUGAAACUUAAAGAAAUUGACGGAAGGGCACCACCAGGGGUGGAACCUGCGGCUUAAUUUGACUCAACACGGGGAAACUCACCAGGUCCAGACACAAUGAGGAUUGACAGAUUGAGAGCUCUUUCUUGAUUUUGUGGGUGGUGGUGCAUGGCCGUUCUUAGUUGGUGGAGUGAUUUGUCUGCUUAAUUGCGAUAACGAACGAGACCUUAACCUGCUAAAUAGCCCGUACUGCUCUGGCAGUUCGCCGGCUUCUUAGAGGGACUAUCGG